GAUGAACGCUGGCGGCGUGCCUAAUACAUGCAAGUCGAGCGAACAGAUGAGGAGCUUGCUCCUCUGACGUUAGCGGCGGGCGGGUGAGUAACACGUGGAUAACCUACCUAUAAGACUGGGAUAACUUCGGGAAACCGGAGCUAAUACCGGAUAAUAUAUUGAACCGCAUGGUUCAAUAGUGAAAGACGGUUUUGCUGUCACUUAUAGAUGGAUCCGCGCCGCAUUAGCUAGUUGGUAAGGUAACGGCUUACCAAGGCGACGAUGCGUAGCCGACCUGAGAGGGUGAUCGGCCACACUGGAACUGAGACACGGUCCAGACUCCUACGGGAGGCAGCAGUAGGGAAUCUUCCGCAAUGGGCGAAAGCCUGACGGAGCAACGCCGCGUGAGUGAUGAAGGUCUUCGGAUCGUAAAACUCUGUUAUUAGGGAAGAACAAAUGUGUAAGUAACUAUGCACGUCUUGACGGUACCUAAUCAGAAAGCCACGGCUAACUACGUG
rnacentral:rRNA from 1 species